CCUUUGACGUUAGCGGCGGACGGGUGAGUAACACGUGGGUAACCUACCUAUAAGACUGGGAUAACUUCGGGAAACCGGAGCUAAUACCGGAUAAUAUUUCGAACCGCAUGGUUCGAUAGUGAAAGAUGGUUUUGCUAUCACUUAUAGAUGGACCCGCGCCGUAUUAGCUAGUUGGUAAGGUAACGGCUUACCAAGGCGACGAUACGUCGCCGACCUGAGAGGGUGAUCGGCCACACUUGGAACUGAGACACGGUCCAGACUCCUACGGGAGGCAGCAGCC
rnacentral:rRNA from 1 species